UAGCUCAGUUGGUAAAGAAUCUGCCUGCAGUGCAGGAGACCCGGGUUCAAUUCCUGG
rnacentral:tRNA from 1 species